GAAUUAACGGGAAUUAACGGGAAUUAACGGGAAUAAACGGGAAUAAACCGGGAAUUUACUAAACUGAAGGUAUGUUCUUAUUAGGGAACUUAAAUAUAGUUGUGUAAAAUAAUAUUUUAGCAUAAUCCUGACUAAAACAACCAGAUAUCAUGCAGCACAGUUGAAUAUCUUUGCUAUCACAUGCUCACAUAGUUGCAGGGCCACUGAGACCACGCCCCCUACAUGUGCUGUUCAUUCCUCCAUCACAUGCACAGAUGAUUUAUACAAUUCUGGACCACACUUUUGAGUCCAGAGCACACAAAUUGAAGCCAGACUUUUGAGCCUGUGGACUGCAUGAAGUGAAGUGCUGCCUCCAGUCCAGCUUGCAUCUUUCCUCCUCGCCUCCUUCUCUUCGUGAGCAGACAUGCCUCCUCCAGUGGGGGGCCCCACAGGAUACACCCCUCCCGAGGGGGGCUGGGGCUGGGCCGUGGUGGUGGGGGCGUUCAUCUCCAUCGGCUUCUCUUACGCUUUCCCCAAAUCCAUAACUGUCUUCUUCAAAGACAUCGAGGUGAUCUUUGAUGCCACGCCCAGCCAAGUCUCCUGGAUCUCCUCCAUCAUGUUGGCUGUCAUGUACGCAGGAGGUCCAAUCAGCAGCAUCCUGGUGAACAGAUUCGGAAGCCGACCCAUCAUCUUGAUGGGCGGCUGUCUGUCAGCGUCCGGAUUGGUCGCCGCCUCCUUUUGCAACACAGUGCCGCAGCUCUACUUUUUCAUCGGCGUUGUGGGAGGAUUGGGACUGGCGUUUAACCUGAACCCGGCCCUCACCAUGAUCGGCAAGUACUUCUACAAGCGGCGACCCAUCGCCAAUGGCAUCGCCAUGGCCGGCAGCCCCGUCUUCCUGUCCACGCUGGCGCCACUCAACUCGUGGCUGUACGACCAGUUCGGCUGGAGAGGCAGCUUCCUCAUCCUGGGGGGGCUUCUGCUCAACUGCUGCGUGGCCGGCUCGCUCAUGCGCCCCAUCGGACCCCGGUCGCCGCCCCCCAAGCCCGCCGCAGAGGCCGAGCCCAACGGUGAGGCGCGACCCAAGAAGACGGUGCUGCAGACAAUCAACUCCUUCAUCGACCUGACGCUGUUUAAGCACCGCGGCUUCCUGCUCUACCUGCUGGGCAACGUCAUCAUGUUCUUCGGCCUCUUUGCGCCGCUCGUCUUCCUCUCCAAUUUCGCCAAGAGCAAAGACAUCAGCAAAGACAAGGCAGCCUUCCUGCUGUCCGUGCUGGCCUUUGUCGACAUGUUUGCUCGGCCCUCCAUGGGUCUGCUGGCCAACACCAAGUGGGUCCGACCCCGCGUGCAGUACUUCUUUGCCGGCGCCGUCCUCUACAACGGCGUGUGUCACGUCUUGGCGCCGCUGUCCACCACCUACACGGGUUUUGUGGUGUACGCCAUCUUUUUCGGAUUCGCCUUCGGCUGGCUAAGCUCGGUGCUAUUCGAGACUCUGAUGGACCUGGUGGGAGCGCAGAGGUUCUCCUCCGCCGUGGGCCUGGUCACCAUCGUGGAGUGCGCCCCUGUGCUACUCGGCCCGCCGCUGACAGGAAGCUUCUACAACUACUACCAGCACUACGACUACACGUACAUCUCGUCGGGCAUCAUCCUCAUCGUGGCCAGUCUCUUCCUCUUUGUGGGGAUGGGUAUCAACUACAAACUCUUAGAGCGAGAGAAGAAGAAAGAGGACAAACGUGAGCCUAAGGAGGAGCGCAAUCCCAUGCUGGACCAAGCCUCGCCCCCCAAGGCCAACGCGGAUGACGUGGAGGAUGUGGAUGACGAGGCCCCCGCUGCGGCCGACGCCGUCAAACCACAGGAUUCCAAGAUGGACGAGAACACCGUGUAGGAGCGGAACAGACUCGGAAAGACGUACACGCACGGCACACGCCAUCACAAACACACACAUUCACGCUAUGGACUUGCACUGCACUCACCUCCUUUUUUGUUUCUUGUGUGUUAUUGAUGUGCCUGCGGGAAUCUUGAGGAGAGCACAGAUUCAUGACGGUAGUCAUUUCAAUCACUUUGAAGAAGAUGUUACUCUCAGGGUCUGCAGAGUGUAUGAAGGAGCGUUUGUGAGCUUUGGACUAACACGACGUGCAGGCGGGUGACUAGGAGGUGGCAGAAGAGCAUCGACGUCAAUAGUUGGAGGCGUGCGUGGCAGUGGAGUCGUUAUUGGGGAGGGAGCUUCUGCGCUGCUCUGCGUCCUUGCCGCAACGCAACAGCAGCACGCCGCGUAGCUCAGGUAACACGCUGCUCGAGAAAGCCGAGUAGAUCCACGGGUUGCUGCAUGAGUUCAGGCUGGCCAACAGCAUCAGCAGCGUGAAGGUUGCCCCUAACCAAACACACACGCGGUGAGUGAGUUACUGGAUGUGUGAAAUGUAGCCAAUAGUAUGCACCAGUCUUGGGUGGGUGGGGUGCCCAGGCUGCCCACAGCUGGACACUGAAGAAGGGGGCCCAGCACAGCGUGUAGACGAGCACAAUGACCACGCUCAUCUUGACUGUCUUGGACAUGGCCGCCAUCACCUCUCCUCUUCCUGCUACCCUGGAAGUGGAGGCUUUUGGUGCAGCGCAGACAGUAGAGAGCUGUUGGCGGUCCGCUAGUAGGCACAAUUCAAAGUAUUUUUUUUAAAGUGAAUUGGAAUUUCUUUGUGUAUGUUUACUAGCUGUUGCUGCCCUUACCUGUUUGCAAAGCCAUGUGAGUAUGUGUGUCAGGACGGAAAGGUCCGACGUGAAGCUGGCUGGUGGGUACGAUGUUGUUGAAAGUGAUUGGUGGAGCAUCAAGAGAGGAGUUGGACCUUCCUUGUCCGCGUCCUCGUCUUCUCUGGAUAUCCCGUCUGGAGGGAGGAAACGAGGAAGACAGCGAACGGUGCUCUGAUUUCAGAUACAGAUUGUUGCGGAUCUCCUUGAAGAUUCGCACCUAAAGAUGGUUCAUCCCUCGCACGUACCUGUGGUACACUGAGUAAUGAUGACAGCCCCCAAGCCAGCAGGAUGAGGGUGUUCCAUCUGCGGGUGGCCCAGCUGCGGUGUGCCAGCAGGGGGCAGCAGAUGGCAUAAUGGCGAUCUAUCGUCAUGGCGACGAUCAUGUAAGAGGAUGCAAACAUCCCGAGCACUUGAAGGUACUUCACUGAGCGACACAGGAAGUCCGGACCAGGAAAAAGUCCCCAGGCGUCCCACACCAGCUGCGGCAGCACCUUCACACGCAAAAUCAAAAGACAAUGCUGACAAGAGUGAGAAUAGUUGUAGCUCCAGGGAUGUGAGUCAUCAUGACCAGUAAAAAUAAAAUUACACAUAUAUAUAA